rnacentral:rRNA from 1 species
GACGAACGCUGGCGGCGUGCUUAACACAUGCAAGUCGAACGGAAAGGCCCUGCUUUUGUGGGGUGCUCGAGUGGCGAACGGGUGAGUAACACGUGAGUAACCUGCCCUUGACUUUGGGAUAACUUCAGGAAGCUGGGGCUAAUACCGGAUAGGAGCUCCUGCUGCAUGGUGGGGGUUGGAAAGUUUCGGCGGUUGGGGAUGGACUGGCGGCUUAUCAGCUUGUUGGUGGGGUAGUGGCUUACCAAGGCUUUGACGGGUAGCCGGCCUGAGAGGGUGACCGGCCACAUUGGGACUGAGAUACGGCCCAGACUCCUACGGGAGGCAGCAGUGGGGAAUAUUGCACAAUGGGCGGAAGCCUGAUGCAGCAACGCCGCGUGCGGGAUGACGGCCUUCGGGUUGUAAACCGCUUUCGCCUGUGACGAAGCGUGAGUGACGGUAAUGGGUAAAGAAGCACCGGCUAACUACGUG